rnacentral:misc_RNA from 1 species
UUUCCGUAGGUGAACCUGCGGAAGGAUCAUUCAUAAUAAGUGUUUUAUGGCACUUUUUUAAAUCCAUAUCCACCUUGUGUGCAAUGUCAGGGUUGAUUUUUCUCUCGAGAGGUUCAGCCCCAAACAUCAACUAUAUCUCAACUCUUUGUCUGAAAAAUAUUAUGAAUAAAACAAUUCAAAAUACAACUCUCAACAACGGAUCUCUUGGCUCUC